rnacentral:rRNA from 1 species
AAGUCGUAACAAGGUUUCCGUAGGUGAACCUGCGGAAGGAUCAUUGUCGAAACCUGCAAAGCAGAAAGACCAGCGGACCCAUUACAACACCCAGGGGUGACCCCAACCCCUGACGCUGAGUGUGUGCAGCCCUGCCUUGCGCCCUCAGCAUAAAACGAACCCAGGCGCGGAACGCGUCAAGGAAUCAUAACGAAACGAGCUCCUGCCGUGGCCCCGGGGACGGUGAUCGCCGCAGCAGCUGUGUUGUGCUUGGUUAAGUCUAAAAUGACUCUCGGCAACGGAUAUCUCGGCUCUCGCAUCGAUGAAGAACGUAGCGAAAUGCGAUACUUGGUGUGAAUUGCAGAAUCCCGUGAACCAUCGAGUCUUUGAACGCAAGUUGCGCCUGAAGCCAUCAGGCUGAGGGCACGUCUGCCUGGGCGUCAAACACCGAUGCCCCCCCAAAUCCCCUCGUCACUCUCCCCUGAGUGCCCGGGGAGUGUGGGGGUCGGAUGAUGGCCUCCCGUGUCUUGGCUCGCGGUUGGCCCAAAGUCGAGUCCUCGGUCACGGUUACCGUGGUGACAGGUGGUUGUCGGUCGCUCGGUACCCCGUCACGUGCGCCGGACACGAAUCGAGACUCUCUUGAUUACCCCAACGCAUCCCCGUUUGGGUGCCUCUGAUGUGACCCCAGGUCAGGCGGGGCUACCCGCUGAGUUUAA